rnacentral:rRNA from 1 species
AUUGAACGCUGGCGGCAGGCCUAACACAUGCAAGUCGAACGAGUGGCGGACGGGUGAGUAAUGUCUGGGAAACUGCCUGAUGGAGGGGGAUAACUACUGGAAACGGUAGCUAAUACCGCAUACCAUCGGAUGUGCCCAGAUGGGAUUAGCUAGUAGGUGGGGUAAAGGCUCACCUAGGCGACGAUCCCUAGCUGGUCUGCGAUGAGGACCAGCCACACUGGAACUGGUACACGGCCUAGACUCCUACGGGAGGCAGCAGUGGGGAAUAUUGCACAAUGGGCGAAAGCCUGAUGCAGCCAUGCCGCGUGUAUGAAGAAGGCCUUAGGGUUGUAAAGUACUUUCAGCGGGGAGGCGUUACCCGCAGAAGAAGCACCGGCUAACUCCGUGCCAGCAGCCGCGGUAAUUC